UUUCUUUGUGAAACAGAGGUAUUAUUAGAAAGCAUUUUAAUGUGCUUUCUGUUUGUACUUUGGGUAUGCUACUUUAUCCCUGCUCAGCCCAAGGUAAGGUACAGUUCUGGGGUAAGUAAAUGGUAUUUCCAAGGGAAAUACCAAGGGAAACAAAAGUUAAUAGUCAACUCCUGACAUUCAAAAUAGGUUUUUGCUGCCAAACAAUAGAUUUGAAACCAGAUUUGCCUAGAGAAGAUUCCCCAAAUUAACACAUAGGAAAGAACAACAGAAAAGGUCCUAAGACCCUCCUUCUAAAGAGGGUUCUACUCCAUACCCUGGAGGAAGGACUGCUGCACAGAGGGACCAGGAAGAAUGUGAACAGACAGGCCUUGUGGGCUUUUCCUUCUCCGCCUAUUCAUAUUAGACCAUACCCUUUUUGUCCAAUGCUAUUUCCGCACAAUGGUCAAUCAUGCUUAUCCAGUGAAGUCUCCAUAGAAGGCCCAAGAGGACUGCUGAACGCGCGGAUGCUGACCAAGAACUGAUCCAUGUGCUGGGAGGGUGAUGCCCCUCAGCUCCACAGGGACAGAAGCUCCUGUGCUUGGGACCCAUCCAGACCUCAUCCUGUGUGUCUCCAUCUGCGUGUUUAUUUGUAUUCUUUAAGAUACCCUUCAUAAUAAACUGAUAAACUUAAGUAA